rnacentral:rRNA from 1 species
CCUACGGGAGGCAGCAGUGGGGAAUUUUGGACAAUGGGCGAAAGCCUGAUCCAGCAAUGCCGCGUGUGGGAAGAAGGCCUUCGGGUUGUAAACCACUUUUGUACGGAACGAAACGGUUCGCUUUAAUACAGUGGGCUAAUGACGGUACCGUAAGAAUAAGCACCGGCUAACUACGUGCCAGCAGCCGCGGUAAUACGUAGGGUGCGAGCGUUAAUCGGAAUUACUGGGCGUAAAGCGUGCGCAGGCGGUUAUAUAAGACAGUUGUGAAAUCCCCGGGCUCAACCUGGGAAUUGCAUCUGUGACUGUAUAGCUAGAGUACGGUAGAGGGGGAUGGAAUUCCGCGUGUAGCAGUGAAAUGCGUAGAUAUGCGGAGGAACACCGAUGGCGAAGGCAAUCCCCUGGACCUGUACUGACGCUCAUGCACGAAAGCGUGGGGAGCAAACAGGAUUAGAUACCCUGGUAGUCCACGCCCUAAACGAUGUCAACUGGUUGUUGGGUUGCAUUAGUACUCAGUAACGAAGCUAACGCGUGAAGUUGACCGCCUGGGGAGUACGGCCGCAAGGUUGAAACGUCAAANAGAGUAGAGNGUGAGACGNGCGAGACGACGACGAGGGAGAGG